ACGGAAUAGCCUCGGGAAACUGAGAGUAAUACCGUAUAAGCCCUUCGGGGGAAAGAUUUAUCGGGAAAGGAUCGGCCCGCGUUAGAUUAGAUAGUUGGUGGGGUAACGGCCUACCAAGUCUACGAUCUAUAGCUGGUUUUAGAGGAUGAUCAGCCACACCGGGACUGAGACACGGCCCGGACUCCUACGGGAGGCAGCAGUGGGGAAUCUUGGACAAUGGGGGCAACCCUGAUCCAGCCAUGCCGCGUGUGUGAAGAAGGCCUUCGGGUUGUAAAGCACUUUCAGUAGGGAGGAAGGCUUAUCCUUAAUACGGAUGANUACUUGACGUUACCUAC
rnacentral:rRNA from 1 species